CCCCCCCCCCCCUCCUCUCGGCGUCACAUAGUAUGGAGCCGCUGCUGCUGGAGUAACGGAGCCUGCGAGACACCGGAGGCGGAGAAGAGAGAGGAGAGUCAGCGCCUGAGCCGGGACCUCCUGCAGAGUACAAACACCAUGAAGAAGACAACCAUUGAAGAGAACACUAUGAUGCAGAAUAUGAGAUAGAACACCAUAGGACAGAACAUGUGACGAAGCAACAUCACACUGAACGCGAUGAAAGAACGGACACCAGGAACAUGAAGAAUAAAAAAUUGUAAUACACCAGAUCGCAAAGAAGCCAAUCAAAAAGCUAAAUAUAAGUAAACUAGUGCCAAAAUGGCAA